GGGAAAGCGGCGAAGUUGGAGAGUCGUGGCAGACUGUAAAUCUGUCGUCGAAAGACUGAGUGAGUUCGAAUCUCACCUUUCCCACCA
rnacentral:tRNA from 1 species